rnacentral:rRNA from 1 species
AGUGAACGCUGGCGGUAGGCCUAACACAUGCAAGUCGAACGGCAGCACAGUAAGAGCUUGCUCUUACGGGUGGCGAGUGGCGGACGGGUGAGGAAUACAUCGGAAUCUACUUUUUCGUGGGGGAUAACGUAGGGAAACUUACGCUAAUACCGCAUACGACCUACGGGUGAAAGCAGGGGAUCUUCGGACCUUGCGCGAUUGAAUGAGCCGAUGUCGGAUUAGCUAGUUGGCGGGGUAAAGGCCCACCAAGGCGACGAUCCGUAGCUGGUCUGAGAGGAUGAUCAGCCACACUGGAACUGAGACACGGUCCAGACUCCUACGGGAGGCAGCAGUGGGGAAUAUUGGACAAUGGGCGAAAGCCUGAUCCAGCCAUACCGCGUGGGUGAAGAAGGCCUUCGGGUUGUAAAGCCCUUUUGUUGGGAAAGAAAAGCAGCAGGUUAAUACCCCGCCGUUCUGACGGUACCCAAAGAAUAAGCACCGGCUAACUUCGUG